GAUGAACGUUGGCGGCGUGCCUAAUACAUGCAAGUCGAACGAAGACUGUAGUAAUACUGUCUUAGUGGCGAACGGGUGAGUAACGCGUGGGUGACCUGCCCCGAAGUGUGGGAUAACAGUCCGAAAGGAUUGCUAAUACUGCAUAAUAUCCAAGAGAUUAGACGCUUUUGGAUUAAAGGAGUAAUUCGCUUCGGGAGGGGCCCGCGUCCCAUCAGCUAGUUGGUAAGGUAAUGGCUUACCAAGGCGAUGACGGGUAGGGGACCUGAGAGGGUGGCCCCCCAAAUGGAACUGAAACACGGUCCAUACACCUACGGGUGGCAGCAGUAGGGAAUAUUAGUAAUGGGCGAAAGCCUGAACUAGCAACGCCGCGUGUGCGAAGAAGGCCUUGGGUCGUAAAGCACUUUUCGAGAGGAUGAGGAAGGACGGUACUCUCAGAAUAAGUCUCGGCUAACUACGUGCCAGCAGCCGACGGUAAAAUGCGUACU
rnacentral:rRNA from 1 species